GAUCAUGGCUCAGGAUGAACGCUAGCUACAGGCUUAACACAUGCAAGUCGAGGGGCAGCAUGGUCUUAGCUUGCUAAGGCUGAUGGCGACCGGCGCAUGGGUGAGUAACACGUAUCCAACCUGCCGUCUACUCUUGGCCAGCCUUCUGAAAGGAAGAUUAAUCCAGGACGGGAUCAUGAGUUCACAUGUCCGCAUGAUUAAAGGUAUUUCCGGUAGACGAUGGGGA
rnacentral:rRNA from 1 species